GACGAACGCUGGCGGCGUGCUUAACACAUGCAAGUCGAACGGAAAGGCCCCUUUGGGGGUACUCGAGUGGCGAACGGGUGAGUAACACGUGAGUAACCUGCCCUUGACUUCGGGAUAACUUCAGGAAACUGGGGCUAAUACCGGAUAGGAAUCCUUGCUGCAUGGUGGGGGUUGGAAAGCUUCGGCGGUUUUGGAUGGACUCGCGGCUUAUCAGCUUGUUGGUGGGGUAGUGGCUUACCAAGGCUUUGACGGGUAGGCGGCCUGAGAGGGCGACCGGCCACAUUGGGACUGGGAUACGGCCCAGACUCCUACGGGAGGCAGCAGUGGGGAAUAUUGCACAAUGGGCGGAAGCCUGAUGCAGCAACGCCGCGUGCGGGAUGACGGGCUUCGGGUUGUAAACCGCUUUCAGCAGGGGCGAAGCUUGUGGUGACGGUACCUGCAGAAGAAGCACCGGCUAACUACGUG
rnacentral:rRNA from 1 species